CGAAGUAUGGAUAAAAUAGGAAAAAUCUCUUCUAGAAAAAAAAGUUGCUACAAUUUGAAGAGCAGAUUUUUUCAGCCGGUGGAAAAAACAAUUGCAGCAAAAAUUGGAGGAGAUGCUGGCACAUCAAUGAAUUCAAACGACUACGGUUAUGGAGGACAAAAAAGACCUCUUGAGGAUGGAGAUGGCUCUUGGACAAGUCCGAGCAGUACAACACACUGGGAGGGAAUGCCCUCUCCUUUUAAAGAUCAACCAGAUGCUAAGAAAGUUGCUCCUCCAAAUGACUCUUUUGGAAAUCAACUACCACCAAUGCAUCAACAACAGAGAUCUGUGAUGACAGAGGAGUACAAAGUUCCAGAUGGAAUGGUUGGAUUCAUAAUUGGCAGAGGUGGAGAGCAGAUCUCACGCAUACAGCAAGAGUCUGGAUGUAAAAUACAGAUCGCGCCUGAUAGUGGAGGCCUGCCUGAAAGAUCUUGUAUGCUAACUGGAACACCAGAGUCUGUUCAGUCAGCAAAAAGAUUACUUGAUCAGAUAGUUGAAAAGGGAAGACCUGCACCUGGCUUUCAUCAUGGUGAUGGACCUGGAAAUGCAGUCCAAGAAAUUAUGAUUCCAGCAAGUAAAGCAGGAUUAGUUAUUGGAAAAGGAGGAGAGACAAUUAAACAAUUGCAGGAGCGAGCAGGUGUCAAAAUGGUCAUGAUUCAAGAUGGUCCACAGAACACUGGCGCAGACAAGCCCCUUAGGAUAACUGGAGACCCUUAUAAAGUUCAACAAGCCAAGGAAAUGGUGCUGGAGUUAAUUCGCGAUCAAGGUGGCUUUAGAGAGGUGCGCAACGAAUAUGGGUCAAGAAUAGGAGGAAAUGAAGGGAUAGACGUUCCAAUACCACGGUUUGCUGUAGGUAUUGUAAUCGGAAGAAAUGGAGAGAUGAUAAAAAAAAUACAGAAUGACGCUGGUGUUAGGAUCCAAUUUAAGCCAGAUGAUGGAACAACUCCAGAUAGAAUAGCCCAGAUCACAGGGCCUCCAGACAGAUGUCAACAUGCUGCAGAAAUUAUUACAGAUCUCCUUCGAAGUGUUCAGGCUGGUAACCCUGGUGGACCAGGACCUGGUGGUCGAGGAAGGGGUAGAGGUCAAGGCAACUGGAACAUGGGUCCUCCUGGUGGAUUACAGGAAUUCAAUUUUAUUGUUCCCACUGGCAAAACUGGAUUAAUCAUUGGCAAAGGAGGUGAAACUAUCAAAAGUAUAAGCCAGCAAUCUGGUGCUAGAAUAGAACUUCAGAGAAAUCCUCCACCUAAUGCAGAUCCAAACAUGAAAAUGUUUACUAUCCGUGGAACACCCCAGCAAAUAGAUUAUGCACGACAACUUAUAGAAGAAAAGAUUGGAGGUCCGGUUAAUCCACUGGGUCCACCAGUUCCCCAUGGACCCCAUGGUGUUGUUCCUGGGCCACACGGACCUCCUGGUCCCCCAGGUCCUGGUGCUCCUAUGGGACCAUAUAACCCUGCUCCUUACAAUCCAGGGCCUCCUGGUCCUGCACCUCAUGGUCCUCCAGCCCCAUAUGCUCCACAAGGAUGGGGAAAUGCUUAUCCACACUGGCAGCCACCAAAUCCACCAGAUCCAGGUAAGCCAGGAACAGAUCCCAAUUCAGCCGCAUGGGCAGCUUACUAUGCUCACUACUAUCAGCAACAAGCACAGCCACCGCCUGCAGCCCCUCCUGGGGGACCGGCUACAACCCAAACUAAUGGACAAGGAGAUCAGCCAAAUCCAGCACCAGCAGGGCAGGUUGACUAUACCAAGGCAUGGGAAGAGUACUACAAAAAAAUGGGUCAAGCAGUUCCUGCGCCCGCUGGGGCUCCGCCAGGCGGUCAGCCAGAUUAUAGUGCAGCAUGGGCUGAGUACUACAGACAACAGGCAGCAUAUUACGCCCAGACGAGCCCCCAGGGAAUGCCACAACAUCCUCCAGCACCACAGGUUUGAUCCAGCCAGUAUAGAACUAGCUCUAUAGGGGUGAGGAGGACUGUGCUGUGUAUCAUCCUUGAUUGUUCCUUCAAGGAGCAUUGCACUGUAAGUACAUCAGAAUGACAAAUUGAUGAACUGCAACAGUAUCUUUUUGUCAAUGUUCCACAUAAUGAAACUGCCAUACUUGUGUGAAUAUUAUGUUGGAAUACAGUGCUGAUUAUCUUAGGAAAUCAUAAUUGCUUCUUAAUUCAGAAACAUAGGUGUGCCAUAUAUACAUAUAUAUAUAUACACACAUUAUGUGAGCUUUAUGGGUAAGUAUUCUUGAAACGUUUAGCAACAGCUAAAGAAAAUCAUGUUUCUGUUUAUCUGAGUAAUAGUCUUUUUUUCAUGAGUCCACCUGAGAGAGAGCUAUAUUAUUCAGUGUAUUUAAGUAUGCAUAUCAUAACAUUGAAGUCUUUUGGAACCACUUGUCAGACAGGAGUUGUUUGUCUUCAGUUAGUUUGCAGAUACGUAGUGAUGGAGGUAUGUUUUAAAAUAAUUUUAUAACUGUUACUUGCUUUUUCUUAUGGAAUACCAUUUUGUUUUGAGAAUAAACUUUAGUGUGGCUGCACAGAGACUAAAAGUUAAGGUUGAAAUUGAAGUAGUUUUAUUCAGGUAAUUAGCAAUGUAUGUAUUGUGCUGUAGAAAGAAGGAAUUAUUUUUAUCCCUUUUAAAAUUAGGCAUUAUUCUGGUAGUUUAAAAAAAGGCUAGGAUGGUAUUUGCUAUCUUUAGUGUAGGAUAUGAAGUUUAAUAGUUCAGAUAUUUUGCAUGAUAUUUUGUAGAUAACCUUGUAGAAUGGUGCAUUUAUUAUGUACUAAACUGAGCAAAAUUAAAUUCACUGGAUUCUUUAUCAUUCACAAAAUGGAGGCUGUUGAUUUUGAUUCAUUUAAGGUAUAAAAUCUUUAUUAAUUGCAAACAGUGCAAUUAUUUAUACUUCACAGUGCCUUCCCAGACCUUCCACCUUAGGUUCUGCUGCAAAAAAGCAACAGGUAAGCACAACCUAAGGAAGUAUAUAAAUUACUAUAUUUCAGUACAUUAAUGUUGUCCCUGUGAGAUCUUUGUGGUUGUGUAUUGAAAAGCAAUCAGCUGCUUUCCCCAAAUGCAUUGUUACUUACGGUUCCAUUUCAGUGGAAAGUCUUUUAAGUUUCUAAACAACUGUUUAUAUUUCUAGGUAAAUAUGUAUCUUUUCUAGAAAAGAUGAGUAGAUUGCAGUAAUUAAACUUAAUCAGAAUAAGUCAUUUUUGUUACUUUUUCUCAAAUAGCUAAUUGUUGCAAUUAAAGAUCAAAACCGUUAAAAAUAUGCAGGAAUUACUUUGGUUAGAAACGUCAACAGCCUUCACAAAUGGUUUUUUUUAUAAUAGGGCACUACUCCCACUCAACUAGUAAGACCUAAGUAUAAAGAAUAUAACUUGUGUUAUCACUGAACUUGAUAACUUGUCUUACAGUUAUAGUGUGUUAGUGGAAUCUUUAGAUAAUUUAGUUUGCUUAUUCAUACUUGCCAUGGUAGGAAAAUAGACUCUAGAAUUUUGCAGAUGAGUAUGUUUUAUUUGAAAAAGCAUGUGCACCAGUUAAAUGUUAACAGUACAGCAAAUAAUAUUUUAUCUAUAUAGCAGUCAGUGUUUCCUGUUUCUUGGUAUUUUAACUGAAUUGCUGUAUGUUUUGCCAGUUUAAAAUGUUUUAUGUCUUAGAUGGUCUGGUACAGUGUUUUUUUUUUUUUAAGCUUAAAGUAAAGCAGCAUCUAUUCAUUUUUUUUUGUUGAUGAUUCUGUUUCUAAAAUGUGCUGCUCCUCUUUCAAAAGUCCUGCUUAUCUGUACAUGAAAGAAAAAUAUUCAAAAAUACUGCCUUCAUUUUCACACACAGUGCUGAAGAUGCUGCAAGCACCAAAUCAUAGCUCAUAGAAUCAGGUCCUGAGAUAGUUACUACCAAUAAAGAGGAAUCCUUUGAGUGUAUGCCAUUGGUGAGCCGAUGAGCAUGGACCAUAGAAGGGCUCCAUGUAGAAGGUAAAAUUGGCAAAAACAUAACAGAUUUGAAAUGUAUCCCAUACAUAAUGGUGUAGGGUAUAAUUUUUGUUUUGAUCACUUUUCAUUCUUUAAAGUACUAUUUGUUUGACCAUGAAUGUUCCAUAAUCUGUUAAGUUUUUUAACUGUGAUUUAAUAAUAUAAACCAUUUAUUCUAAUUUGUAUUCUUCUAAACAGUCAAGCUAGAUAUAUUGACUUUUUGAACUAAAUUAAUAGUUGUGCUUCAGUUUCUCAAGCCACUUCAUAUUUGAUGAUUUGUAGUUUAAUAUGUAAUUCAGAUUCAUUUUUGACAUAAGACGUUAGGUGUGUACCAUUUGGAGUUUUGAUGCCAGGAAUUUAGUGUUGGGGUGAGUCAUUUGUUCACUUCUUCUUACAUGCUGCUUUUUCUACAACUGUUGUUCCUAAAAUAUCUUAACAGUCUUUUAAUUGUAAAUUUAGCCAGUGGGAGGAAAUAGAGAAGAAAAAGCCAGCUUAUUAGAAUACUGCAUCUUUAUUAGAUGAGAUGAACUUGCCUUAGUAUAUAGCAUUUGAGGUAUACUGACUUUCAGCUUGCUCACUGCCGGGUUUACAGGCAUGCUCUUUUGUACUAAGCGUAGUGUUUAUUUUCUCAAUUCUGUCCCCAAGCUCACAGUUCUUGGGAGAACAGAAAAUAUGUUACUGGAGUUAUCCAGAUCCAGUAAGAUAACUGGACUUUCUUGGAAGUGUAAUGAACUUGCCCAAAGGUGUCUUUAAAUGUUUCCUGCUUUUUCUUCCCUAGAGUCCCACAAAUUAAAUAGAAUGUGAAGAGUACUAAAACGUUAAAAAGGAGGCAUAAUGUUCAAAGUAGGAAAAGCAUUUUCAUACCACUUUCUGCAGCAUAUACUUUCAGACAGGACAUGAAAUAAAAUACCAGGUGGAUAAUAUUUUAUCUAGCAUGAUCAUAUACCAUGUAUUUAAGUUGUUCAGGCAGACAGUAUCAUUAUUCAUUGCACAGUCUCUCUUGAAAUAUUUCAUCUUUUUACUAGUGGUAUUGGAUGAUAGAAACUGUUUCUCCCCUAUUCCCUUCCAAAGUAGCUUUUAAGUUUUUCAUUGCAUGCUAAAAGCUUUUUAUUUUGCUUUUUUCUGGACAUGGUGGGAGGAAGGGUGGACUGGGCCUUUCAGAAAGCAUACAGUUGACAGGAUUCCCUCUUCCCUAGUAAUAGCUCAUAAAUUCUUAUGUAUGCACAAAUAUUUCUCUUGCGUGCAUGUGAAAUGCAUUUUCGUCCUGAGAAAAGUGUUCUCUGCAGAAACUACCCGUGUGUAAAAAGAAGAUUGGCUUUAAAAGGCAACUGUGAUGGGAACAGUGUCUUAGGGAGAUGCAGCUUGGACUUGAGACAUUUAAUCAUCAGUGAAGAAAGAACUGAGAUAUGCCAAUCUCUUCACUGUGGCUUGUCUCCAGUGGACACUAUCUGCUAAGAGAAGCCUGUGAUUUGCAAACUGCAAUCAAGAAUAAAAGAAAGAACCAUCCUUAGAAAACAUCUUGGAAUAUUUUAUUUGCUAAUGGAGGAAGUUAACUGUGAACUGCUGAGGUACUGAUAUUCCAGAUUUCUGCAUACUGCAAGCAGCCAUGGGAUUGGUAUGUUGGGCAGACUAGUAAAGGGAAUUACAGAAAUUAUAUAUUUGGAAUUCCUAGGGGGAAAAAGAAGGCAUUAGAAGAAUUGAACUGCUGAACUGUUCCUUUAAGAAAACUUUUAACUUCAAACCGUGACAACCACUGAUAUCAGCUAAAACUGCAUGAUAUAGAAACACUGGGGAAGGGGGUCUUGUUUUUGUUUUUUAUAUACAGAAUUCAUAAAUUCAGCUUUCACUCUUCUAUGUUACUUGGUAAAUAAAUACAUGUACAUGAAGGUGGGAGAUGGGAACAAAACUUCAAUUAGAAUUCUAAAGUUCUUUCUCCUUCCUUUUCUUCCCUCUUCUCCUUCACUAGUACCCUUUCUUCUUCCCCUUCCCUUCUCCCACCUACCCCAAAAAGAAAAAGAAAAAAUGGAUUAUUGACAUAAUGUCAAGGUUAUUGUUUGGAAAAGGUUAAGUAGUUUACUUAUAAAUAAAUAAUAAUGGAAAAAAAAUUUGGCACCUACCUAAAACUAGAACCCUCCCAAUUUGGAUCAAUUGAGAAUCUCAGUGUUUCAGCUUUCUGGGGGUUCUGUUUUUUGGGGGGAGGGGAUGUUAUUUGUAGAUUUCUGUUUCUGUUUUUUAGAAUACUACAUUUUUGUUAGGGCUACUGUAAUAUACAGUUAUCUUGAGUGUGAUCUUGAGCCGUUUGUCCAGGAAUGUUCACUCAUAAUUAAACUACUCUUUUUAAGUUUAACAAAUUUCAAGAAAUAAAAUCUUUAAAGAUUUCAUGAGACAUGAAAAUCCAGAACUCUCUAAUCUUUCUUGUAUGUGAAUGAACAAAGUCAUAAUGAUUAGGACUGUACAGGGAAAAGACAUAUUUAAAUAUAGAACUUCCAAAGAAUGUUUUUGGAAAUAGUUUAGUUCUGUUUUUCCUGAUUUCAACAUAGUCUAUCUGGUGCAUCUUCUGCUAAUAUUAAUGCUAAGCAUAUGAUUCAUUUAGUACGAUCAAAGAACACACUAUAGAGAGGUACAUUUAUAGUCGAUCUAAAAUAAGUCUGGCUUCUGAUAAAGAACAUAUGGAAGCAGUUUUGCAUGUAAUACAAAACAGGAUGAGUUCUGUUUCUGAUAAUUACUAAUCUAGUAAUUGCUACUACAUUAGUUAUUUAUAUUACUACAUACAAAAGUGCUGACAUGUUUGUCUUCCCUAUUUCUGUAAGAGGAGAGUUGUAAUUGAUGUAUUUAUGUAUCAUAUUUAUAAGAUAAAUAAUGGGAACAAGAAAUAGCGUUCUGUUACUACAGAACGUUUUCACUGAAAACAAGUUACCGAAACAUCUGAAGUACUAUUUAAGAGCAAAACGGACAACUAAUUUUCUUCUGCAGAACCUGUACUUCAAGGUACUACAAAGCAUAUAUAUCAAAACUGGUAAGCUUGCUGGCAAAUUUAAAAAUAUAAGUUUCCUAGUUUUACUAAAGAUGGUCUAAAGAAUUACGCCAGUAUGGUUAUUGAAUUGGAACCAAGGCCAAAAACAUGUAUUUUAAAAUGGGUGAUGACACAAUUUUCAAACUCCUUGACAAAUUGAAAUAAGAAUUAAGAAUAAUCAGAUACAGGAAAGAAUGCGAAGGUGUAACCUAUGUUUUGUUCAU